UCGAGAAUUUUUCACAAUGGGCGCAAGCCUGAUGGAGCGACGCCGCGUGGGGGAUGAAUGGCUUCGGCCCGUAAACCCCUGUCAUUUGCGAACAAACCUCAUUAUUUAAAAGAUGAUGAGCUGAUUGUAGCGAAAGAGGAAGGGACGGCUAACUCUGUGCCAGCAGCCGCGGUAAUACAGAGGUCCCAAGCGUUGUUCGGAUUCACUGGGCGUAAAGGGUGCGUAGGUGGUGAGGUAAGUCGGAUGUGAAAUCUCCGAGCUCAACUCGGAAAUGGCAUUGGAAACUACCUUGCUAGAGGAUUGGAGGGGAGACUGGAAUGCUUGGUGUAGCAGUGAAAUGCGUAGAUAUCAAGCGGAACACCAGUGGCGAAGGCGAGUCUCUGGACAAUUCCUGACACUGAGGCACGAAAGCCAGGGGAGCAAACGG
rnacentral:rRNA from 1 species